rnacentral:lncRNA from 1 species
UGUAUGUCUUUUUCAUGGGAUUUGUAUCUUUUCAGAGAUUAAAAGAAAAGCAUUCUGGCCUGUUCACUGGUUCUUCAAAACUUGAUUAAAAGUAUUCAGAAGAAGAAUUUACCAUACAUUUUAAUGAGACAAGGCUGAAGCAGUAUGGAAUUUUUGGAAAGCAAACCUAUUUCUACUGGUAACCUCCAAGACGUGUCUUUUAGGCUAUUUAAUUUGUGUGGUUUAUUCAACUUUGGACCACCACAGCCUACAUCAUGGCAUUGAUUUUGGAAGCUGUGAACAAACCGUGUUCAUGAAUCAGCUUCCUCAGCAAUAAUGCACACAAAAUAACACUUGCAUUAAAGUAAGUAUUGCCAACAAAGAGAGCUCUUGUAGCAUACUCUAUUUCUAUUAGCCA